CCUACGGGUGGCUGCAGUGGGGAAUAUUGGACAAUGGGCGAAAGCCUGAUCCAGCCAUGCCGCGUGUGUGAAGAAGGCCUUCGGGUUGUAAAGCACUUUCAGUGGGGAAGAAAGCCUUGGGGCUAAUACCCUCGAGGAAGGACAUCACCCACAGAAGAAGCACCGGCUAACUCCGUGCCAGCAGCCGCGGUAAUACGGAGGGUGCGAGCGUUAAUCGGAAUUACUGGGCGUAAAGCGCGCGUAGGCGGUCUGAUAAGCCGGUUGUGAAAGCCCCGGGCUCAACCUGGGAACGGCAUCCGGAACUGUCAGGCUAGAGUGCAGGAGAGGAAGGUAGAAUUCCCGGUGUAGCGGUGAAAUGCGUAGAGAUCGGGAGGAAUACCAGUGGCGAAGGCGGCCUUCUGGACUGACACUGACGCUGAGGUGCGAAAGCGUGGGUAGCAAACAGGAUUUAGAUACCCUGGUAGUC
rnacentral:rRNA from 1 species